rnacentral:rRNA from 1 species
GAAACCAACAGGGAUUGCCUCAGUAACGGCGAGUGAAGCGGCAAAAGCUCAAAUUUGAAACCCUCGGGAUUGUAAUUUGAAGAUUUGGCAUUGGAGAAAGCUAACCCAAGUUGCUUGGAAUAGUACGUCAUAGAGGGUGACAACCCCGUCUGGCUAACCGUUCUCCAUGUAUUGCCUUAUCAAAGAGUCGAGUUGUUUGGGAAUGCAGCUCAAAGUGGGUGGUAAACUCCAUCUAAAGCUAAAUACUGGUGAGAGACCGAUAGCGAACAAGUACUGUGAAGGAAAGGUGAAAAGAACUUUGAAAAGAGAGUGAAAUAGUAUGUGAAAUUGUUGAUAGGGAAGGAAAUGAGUGGAGAGUGGCCGAGGUUUCAGCCGCCCCUCGUGGGCGGUGUACUGCCGACGCCGAGUCAUCGAUAGCGAGACGAGGGUUACAAAUGGGAGCGCCUUCGGGCGUUCUCCCCUAACCCUCCACACU